UCUCUCGUAGCUUAGUAGUCAGAGUAAUGGUUUGAGAAGCGAAAGGCCGCGGGUUCGAUUCCCGACGAGGGUG
rnacentral:tRNA from 1 species